rnacentral:rRNA from 1 species
UACGUAGGGUGCAAGCGUUGUCCGGAAUUAUUGGGCGUAAAGAGCUCGUAGGCGGUCUGUCGCGUCGGCUGUGAAAACCCGGAGCUCAACUCCGGGCCUGCAGUCGAUACGGGCAAACUGGAGUGUUGCAGGGGAGACUGGAAUUCCUGGUGUAGCGGUGAAAUGCGCAGAUAUCAGGAGGAACACCGGUGGCGAAGGCGGGUCUCUGGGCCGAUACUGACACUGAGGUGCGAAAGCGUGGGGAGCAAACAGG